ACGAACGCUGGCGGCGUGCUUAACACAUGCAAGUCGAACGGAAAGGCCCUGCUUUUGUGGGGUGCUCGAGUGGCGAACGGGUGAGUAACACGUGAGUAACCUGCCCUUGACUUUGGGAUAACUUCAGGAAACUGGGGCUAAUACCGGAUAGGAGCUCCUGCUGCAUGGUGGGGGUUGGAAAGUUUCGGCGGUUGGGAUGGACUCGCGGCUUAUCAGCUUGUUGGUGGGGUAGUGGCUUACCAAGGCUUUGACGGGUAGCCGGCCUGAGAGGGUGACCGGCCACAUUGGGACUGAGAUACGGCCCAGACUCCUACGGGAGGCAGCAGUGGGGAAUAUUGCACAAUGGGCGGAAGCCUGAUGCAGCAACGCCGCGUGCGGGAUGACGGCCUUCGGGUUGUAAACCGCUUUCGCCUGUGACGAAGCGUGAGUGACGGUAAUGGGUAAAGAAGCACCGGCUAACUACGU
rnacentral:rRNA from 1 species